rnacentral:rRNA from 1 species
UACGAAGGGGGCUAGCGUUGCUCGGAAUCACUGGGCGUAAAGCGCACGUAGGCGGCUUCUUAAGUCAGGGGUGAAAUCCUGGAGCUCAACUCCAGAACUGCCUUUGAUACUGAGGAGCUUGAGUCCGGGAGAGGUGAGUGGAACUGCGAGUGUAGAGGUGAAAUUCGUAGAUAUUCGCAAGAACACCAGUGGCGAAGGCGGCUCACUGGCCCGGUACUGACGCUGAGGCGCGAAAGCGUGGGGAGCAACAGG